rnacentral:lncRNA from 1 species
GUGUUCCAGUUUCUGUUAACACCGUUUUAGCUUGGAAGUCUUAGAGGCGAGGCGGGCGGUGGGGUGCCGGGUACUGAGCUGGUGCGGAAACAGCGCUGUUUGCAAGCCCACCGGGGAAGGCAGCGGCAAAAGUUUUAACUUGAGUCCAUUUCAUUUUCUGUAAAAUGGGGGUACCUACGUCUGUAAUUACCUACUAUGAAAAGUUUUGGUAGAGGCCAUUUCUGGCCUACAUUGGAAACUAUGCCAGCAAAGGUUACGUAGAUCGUCUUGGGGGAAAGAAACAAAAAACUUCUAAGUAUUAAAAGUGGUAACAGUCUAAGAUCUGUCGCGAAACACUGGUUUUCUUUCUUGCUCUACGUUCUCUGUGUCCUCGGCCCAAAGAGGUCCUGUAAAUUUGCCCAGGGCCACACCACGUCUAGCCCAGGUUGCAGGUCGGCUGACAAGGCUGCCCUGCAGGUCAUAAA